CACUCAGGGGUCAAACAUUUAAAAUGUAAAAAAAAAAAACACAUAAACAUUUCAUUUGAAACCACAAAGCAAGAAGGUUUGCUUUGUUCUCGUUUAUCAUGUUGUCUUUUAACAAUUUGUUAAAAUUGUACCCCUUGAUUCCAAACUGGCCGUGCACAGGGUAAACUUUGUAUUUGUAUGCCCCCCUUCGAUGAAGAGGGGUCUAUUGUUUUGCACAUGUCGGUCGGUCGGACGGUCCGUCCACCAAAUGGGUUCCGGAUAAUAACUCAAGAACUCUUAGGCCUGGAAUCAGAAAACAAUCAUAAUUACAUUGAUCAUGACUGGCAGAUGAAUCCUAUUGAUUUUCAGGUCACUAAGUCAAAGGUCACGGUCACAGUGACUCCAAACAGUAAAAUGGUUUCCGGAUGAUAACUCAAGGACGCUUAAGCUUGGAAUCAGGUAAGUUCAUAGGGGCAUUGUUCAUGACUGACAGAUGACCCAUAUGGAUUUUCAGUACUCCAGGUCAAAGGUCAAGGUCACAGUGACUUGAAACAAAAAAUGGUUUUUGGAUGAUAACCCACGAAUGCUUAGGGUUAGGAUCAGGAAAAAUCAUGGGGACAUUGGUCAUGACCGACAGAUGACCCCUAUUGAUUUUCAGAACUCAAGGUCAAACUUCAAGGUCACAGUGACCUGAAGCAGUAAAAUGGUUUCCGGAUAACUCAAGAACGCUUAGGCCUGGUAUCAGGAAAGUUCACAGGGACAUUGGUAAUGACCGGCAGAUGACCCCUAUUGAUAUUUUGGUCACUAGGUCAAAGUUCAAGAUCACAGUGACUCAAAGCAGUAAAAUGGUUUCUGGAUGAUAACUCAAGAACGUUAAGCCUGGAAUCAGGACAGUUCAUAGGGACAUUGGUCAUGACUGACAUAUUACCCCUAUUGAUUUUCAGUACUCUAGGUCAAAGGUCAAUGUCACAGUGACUUGAAACAAUAAAAUGGUUUCCGGUAGAUAACUAACGAAUGCUUAGGUAAGGAUCAGGAAAUUUCAUGGAGACAUAAGCAACUCCACGAGUCACGCGAGCAAUUCUUCUUUAAAUUGCCAAUCAUACUCUAACGUAUUCACACAAUGGCUGCCACUACAACUGACAGCCCAUUUUGGGGGCAUGCGUGUUUUACAAACAGCCCUUGUGCACAAUUUGCUACACACAAUAAUCUGCGGCGUCGGUGGUAUUUUUCACCACUGUGGCAAGUUCUAGUUUUACACUAGAUUGGUAUAUCAGUCAUUAUUAAAUGAUUUGACCAGUAAACGAGUUCACAUAAGACUUUCACCUAACUUUUUGCAAAGUAUCAUUUGUACAGUUCUAAUGAAUGAUUGUAAUUUAAUGCAAUUUUAUUUAAAAUAAAGCUGUAAUUGCCAA